rnacentral:lncRNA from 1 species
GCCGGUGUAAGUCCAAUUUGGUGUACCAGUUUGUUGAAAUCAUAUUUCUAGAUUCUUGGGAAAUGGUAUCUUCUUUUACAUUCCGGAUUAAUUAUGAGUUAUGGUUUGUUAAAUUUUAGUAUCUGAUCAUCAAUUUCUUAAAUUUAAAUAAGAAUUAAGAUAAGUAGGGUAAAAAGUUACUAAAGAAUGAAAAAAAAGUAUACUUUUGGUUUGGUCGUAUAGUUUACAACUUCCUCUUAGCUAUAUCUUUUUAUGAAUAAAAUUUUAAAGGAAAAAAAUAAAAAGAUAAACAGAGUAAAGAAUUAAUUCCGUGAAGAGUGCAAAAUAUUCACUAUCACCUCCUCCACCGUCUAUUAUAUUAUAUAACAAAUUAAAGUUUCUGUUGAAAUUUAUAUUAGAAAAAGUUGUAUGGUGUUUUCAUCAUCCAUUUGUUCAAAUAUCCUUAAAUUGCAAUUGCCUGCAAGGAUUACUCUAUAAUUUUUAACAAGAACACACAAACAAACAAAAAAAAUACUUGUACAUCAAUGUCAGUGAGAUCAGGAUUGAAGUAUGUAAUACAUAUCCAAAUUCUUUUAAAAGAAAGAGCUUUAUCAUUUGUAAAAAUUUAUUGCAGGUAAAUGUGAACUGAAUGUAAUAUGAGAUUUUAAUUAAUACCGUGAUGAAGUUUAGAAUAAGGAAUGCGUAGACGACAAGGAGACGCGCAUUGCAUCUUUUCUUGAACUUUUGUCCUUCUAAUUUUAUCUGCUGAAGAAAACUUCUUUCACUAUAUCAGCCUUGGUGUAUUUGCUCUAACGGAGGAUGGUUCAAGGAUGGUAAGAACAUUUUCCUUCCUUCUCAUUCCUUUCUAACAUUUGUUUUGGGUGUGUGAAAUGAUGAACUAUCCUAUAUUGAUAGUAUCACUAACAAAGAUAAGAACAAGAUUACUGAGGUACCGAUCUUGAAUUAUAUCAUGAAGGUGAGCUUUACUCUCUCUGCAAAUUUUGGAACUUUCUUUUUUCACCUUGUAGUAAUACAAUUUUUUAUUGGCGUUUCAUUUGCGUUUGAAUUAUUCACCUAAGCAUGCUAACUGUUUUCAAUUACAUUGUGGCUUUAGAGCGUGACUCUUGGUACUAAAUAUUUAUCUUGAUUUUUCCAAGCUAUUUAUUCCAUAAUAGGGACACUAUUUUACAGUUGAUUUUUUUGUAUAUCAAAAUUUGGCUUUAUGAAUCAAAGGUGAAAUUAAUAUUGCACUGUUGUAAUGGUAAUAGAUUUAUUAUUACAUGAUUUGUGUUUUUUUCUCUCUUUCAUGGUCAAAACUAAGUUUCUUAAUAUACAAUAUUAAACGUUGAGUGUACCUCUUCAAUGGAUGUAUUAUACUAACAUUAUCUUUGACUAUUGCAGCCUAUAGGUAUAAUUGGCGUCUUUCAGAAUAACAAUAACUCAGUAAAGGAAUUUUUUGCUAAUCUGUUGCUGGAGAUGAGGACAUUUAGCGAAGCAGGCAAAAUAGUACGAUCCAAUCUACCAAGUAGUAGUAUGAUCCAAUCUACCAAGUGGUUAUGAUUG